GGGCUUGACAUCCCACGAACCUGCCUGAAAGGGUAGGGUGCCCGCAAGGGAGCGUGGAGACAGGUGGUGCAUGGCUGUCGUCAGCUCGUGUCGUGAGAUGUUGGGUUAAGUCCCGCAACGAGCGCAACCCUCACCCCUAGUUGCCACCGGGUAAAGCCGAGCACUCGAGGGGAACUGCCAGCGUCAAGCUGGAGGAAGGCGGGGAUGACGUCAAGUCAUCAUGCCCCUUACGUCCUGGGCUACACACGUGCUACAAUGGCCAGUACAGAGGGAUGCGAGACCGCGAGGUGGAGCCAAUCCCAAAAAGCUGGUCUAAGUUCAGAUUGCAGUCUGCAACUCGACUGCAUGAAGUAGGAAUCGCUAGUAAUCGCGCAUCAGCACGGCGCGGUGAAUACGUUCCCGGGCCUUGUACACACCGCCCGUCACACCACGAAAGCUGGCUGUACUCGAAGUCGCUGAG
rnacentral:rRNA from 1 species